rnacentral:snRNA from 1 species
AGAUGUGAGGGUAAUCUGGCUGUUGCACCUUUCACCCCGUAGAUCUCUGGGGUUGAUUUCCUUGUCUAGAGGGGUUGGUGGGUGUCCUAUUCCUCUAUACCUCCAUUUGUGUUCCUCCCAAAGCUGCAUGCUUUGUCAAAAAGGAAAGCAAUCUCUGACAGAGGAGGAAUAUACUUCAGUCAAGGGUAUACACGUAACUCUGAUCCUCUGAUAGAACAUUUAAGCAAGCUCUCAAGGCCAUCGUUUGCUAAAAACAACAAAUUUUACAGUGUGCAAUCAUAAAUUAGCUCCUUUUCUGUAGAAACAAUAAAA